CCCUAGCUAUUCAUUUCAAACUCAAUAAGAUUUUCAUCCGAUCUUUCCACUUUCAUCAGGGACACAAUCCCACAACAUUUACACACCUAACCCACUCCAAACUUCCCAAACCUACAGCACUGUUGAAAACUAACUCAAUCCACUAUCCUGAACAGCAAUCCAGACCUAACCCAAUCCUACCGGAAUUUUAACCCCAAACCACAUUCCAACCCAUGUACACCCCAUCAACUAACCCUCCCCAACUAAGCGGUUAUCAUUUUAUGUUUCGCUCACUAAUAUAGUAAAACGUCAUGUAAUAUAAAUAUAGUAUAAUAUACUAUAAUACACUAUACACGUCAUACACACUAUAUACACUAUACAU